rnacentral:rRNA from 1 species
AGACGGCUACCAGUUCUAAGGAACGCAGCAGGCGCGCAAAUUACACAAUGACAGUAAACUGUUGAUGUAGUGACAAGAGGUAACGGGGCGGUCCUCUAUGAGGCCCGUCAUUGUAUUGAGUAAAACUCAAAAUAUUUAACGAAACCAAUUGGAGGGCAAGUCUGGUGCCAGCAGCCGCGGUAAUUCCAGCUCCAAAAGCAUAUAUUAAAGUUGUUGCGGUUAAAAAGCUCGUAGUUGGAUCCAUGACCUCGGAGGGCGGUCCCCCACUGGGUGCGUACUGCUGCUCCGAGUCCUAUCUGUCAGUUUGUCUGUGUUGCCUUUAAUCGGGUGGCACAGGUGACUGACGUGUUUACUUUGAAAAAAUUAGAGUGUUUAAAGCAGGCGUUGAAUGCCUGAAUAGUGGUGCAUGGAAUAAUGGAAUAGGAUCUCGGUUCUAUUUUGUUGGUUCAAGAGCAUGAGAAAAUGAUUAAGAGGGACAGACGGGGGCAUUUGUAUUGCUGCGUUAGAGGUGAAAUUCUUGGAUCGUAGCAAGACAAACUACUGCGAAGGCAUUUGCCAAGAAUGUUUUCAUUAAUCAAGAACGAAAGUUAGAGGUUCGAAGGCGAUCAGAUACCGCCCUAGUUCUAACCGUAAACCAUGUCGACUAGCUAUCUGUCAGCGUUAAUAAUGACCUGACAGGCAGCUUACCGGAAACGAAAGUUUCUCGAUUCCGGGGGUAGUAUGGUUGCAAAGCUGAAACUUAAAGGAAUUGACGGAAGGGCACCACCAGGAGUGGAGCCUGCGGCUUAAUUUGACCCAACACGGGAAAACUCACCCGGCCCGGACACCGUAAGGAUUGACAGAUUAAUAGCUCUUUCUCGAUUUGGUGAUUGGUGGUGCAUGGCCGUUCUUAGUUGGUGGAGCGAUUUGUCUGGUUAAUUCCGAUAACGAACGAGAUUCUAACUUACUAACUAGUUCCACGAUCCUUGUGGUCCUAAAUACUUCUUAGAGGGAAAACCGGCAUUUAGUCGAACGAGAUUGAGCAAUAACAGGUCUGUGAUGCCCUUAGAUGUCCGGGGCUGCACGCGUGCUACACUGAAGGAAUCAGCGUGUUUUUCCCUUGCCUGUAAUGGCUGGGUAACCGACUGAAUCUCCUUCGUGUUAGGGAUAGAUCAUUGAAACUAGUGAUCUUCAACUUGGAAUUCCUGGUACGUUUGAGUCAUAAGCUCAAGCAGAUUACGUCCCUGCCCUUUGUACACACCGCCCGUCGCUACUACCGACUGGCAAUAUCUUUGAGACACUUGGAGCGGCCGUGAGCUACCCUAACCGGUAACUCACGGCUGCGAAAAGGUUCGAAAAGGUUUUGCUGGAGGGAGUAAAAGUCGUAACAAGGUU